CGCGCCCUUAUCCUCCAGCCUGGGCCACAGAGCAAGGCUCUGUCGCAAAAAAAAAAAAAAAAAAAAAAAAAAGAGAGAGAAAGAAAGAAAUAAACCAAAAACCACAAACCUGCCCUCUCGAGUGCCCAGGCCAGACACGGACACUGAUUGCUGAACAAACAGCCCACGCUGGGGGUCACAUAUUCCCCUUCCCCGCACCUGGGGGUUUCCGCCGCGCUUCCGGGUGUUGAAUGCCGUUUCUGUUUCCCCACAGACCCGCAGUACUCAUGGUCGCCCACGCAGCACUUCAAUGAGGAGCGCUACUCGCCCGCGCCCAGGAGCAUGAAGGGCCUCUCCGGAAGUCGGACCCAGCAGCCGCUGUGUUCCGGGCACACGUGCGGUCUGGCGCCCCCCGAGGACUGCGAGCACCUGCACCACGGGCCCGACGUGCGGCCGCCCUACCUGCUGAGCCCCGCAGACAGCUGCCCCGGGGGGCGCCACCGCUGCUCGCCGCGCAGCUCGGUGCACUCGGAGUGCGUGAUGAUGCCCGUGGUGCUGGGCGACCACGUGUCCAGCAGCACCUUCCCGCGGAUGCACUACAGCUCGCACUACGACACGCGCGACGACUGCGCCGUGGCCCACGCGGGCGCCAAGAUCAACCGCAUCCCGGCCAACCUGCUGGACCAGUUCGAGAAGCAGCUACCGCUGCACCGGGACGGCUUCCACACUCUGCAGUACCAGAGGACGUCCGCGGCCGCCGAGCAGCGCAGCGAGAGCCCCGGGCGGAUCCGCCACUUGGUACACUCCGUGCAGAAGCUCUUCACCAAGUCGCACUCGCUGGAGGGCUCCUCCAAGAGCAAUGCCAACGGCACCAAGGCGGACGGCCGGGCGGACGACCAUCACCACGCCCACCACGCCAAGCACAGCAAGAGGAGCAAGAGCAAGGAGCGCAAGCCCGAGGGCAAACCCCGGCCCGGCAUGAGCAGCUGGUGGAGCUCGGACGACAACCUGGACAGCGACAGCACCUACCGGACGCCCAGCGUGCUCAACCGGCACCACCUGGGCCCGGUGGCCCACUGCUACCCCGAUGCGCUGCAGAGCCCGUUCGGGGACCUGUCCCUCAAGACCUCCAAAAGCAACAACGACGUCAAAUGCUCAGCCUGCGAGGGUUUGGCGCUGACGCCCGACGCCAAGUACCUGAAGCGCAGCUCCUGGUCCACGCUGACGGUCAGCCAGGCCAAGGAGGCCUACCGCAAGAGCUCGCUGAACCUGGACAAGCCGCUGCUGCACCAGGACACCAAGCCCGCCCUGAGGCCAUGCCACUACCUCCAGGUGCCUCAGGACGAGUGGGGAGGGUACCCCACCGGUGGCAAAGAUGAAGAGAUUCCCUGCAGGAGAAUGAGAAGCGGGAGUUACAUUAAAGCCAUGGGGGACGAGGAGAGCGGAGAGUCAGACUCCAGCCCCAAGACAUCACCAAAGUCGGCGAUCCGACCGGAGCCGCUGCUGAAGUCCAUUGGACAGAGACCGCUUGGAGAGCACCAGACACAGAUAAAACUCUUUGGGAAAUCAGCAGUUCCUACGAACCAUGAAAAUAUGACUGUUACUCUUAACAGCCAGCUGCUGUGAAUCCUGAGUCCUACAGGUUAGUUCAGGUGGUAAUGCCAAGAACUGCCUGGAAGCCCCUCCACGCCCCCUCCCGC
ensembl:lincRNA